GGAGAUGUGCAGAACCAGGCAGACCUCAGAGUUCAGGUGACAAGAGGUGCAGAAUGCAGGAGAGCCAUCUGGAUUCAGACACAGAGAAAUCUAACAUGAGGAGGAUUGUGGUUUCACAUUCCACAUUGUGACUGCCUGCCAGUUGUCUUGGGUUGAGUUAUAACACAGAAGCAGAUGGAAGGAGAUGGGUGGAAGCAGGGAAAGAAACCUUGCCAGCUGCAAGGACAUCCCACAGAACUCUGGGCCACCAUGAAAGGGGACCUGCAGCAUCCACAGUGAGGAGGCAGCAGCCUGGUUCUGUUUCUAUAA